GGUUUACUAGCUCAGUCUGUAGAGCACUUGACUUUUAAUCAAGGUGUCCGGGGUUCGAUUCCCCGAUGAGCCACCA
rnacentral:tRNA from 1 species